GAAGAAAGAAAAAGAGAAGAAACUGUAAAUUACAAUGAGAUACUGGAUUUCAGUGACAAAGGGAAAAGCAAAUUGGAAAUAUUAAAGUUUAAUUACAGUUGGUCUGAGGAAGUGGAAAAACAAGAGAGAUUAGAGACAAUGGCGUUAGAAGAAAUAGAAAGAAGGAAGAUCAUGAAAGCUCUGAUGAGGAAGGUUCACCAAGAAUUGAUUGACACCAUUACCAGAAAGACAAACGAGAGGCUAAAAAUACGGUCCGCCAUGAUGAGGAAGAAAGAAGAAAUGGAGACAGUACAUGGAGAACUUAGGGACACUAUAGCCAGAAAAUUAAGGGAGAUGGA